AAAUUACCAAUUCUUAUCUCUUGAAAUUACAGCGGAGUAGAUUGAAGCUACAAAUCUCUUCUCCCUGAAAUUACAGUGGGUUAGAACGAGGCUACUUGAAGAAAAUGAACACCAAGAAGUCAAGACUCGACAAGAUCGAGCAAAAUUGACCCUUUUAAAGUCUUUACUAUAUUCUCGUUACACGAUAAUAAGCAAAGAGGGGCAACUUUAAUGGCCCAAUUUCGUCAUGGCCCAGUUUACAAAUAAAUUACAAACCAAAAAAUAAAAAUAAAAACAACAAAUUACAUCAAACCCAAAAAGCCAAUUUACAAACCCAAAAUUAACCCAAAACCUAACCAAACCUUAUCCCACUAUCUUAACAUUUCAAAAAACCCCUAGCUCUAUCCAUCUUUAGCUGUAGUCGCCGCCUCUCCCUCGCGUGCCGCUCCUCCACAUCACCACCGUACGGCCUCCGUACCUGCAAUCAAAUAGCAACAUGACAGCAACAGAAAGAAAAAGAAAAAAAUUGUAA
rnacentral:lncRNA from 1 species